AGAAAGGGGCUUCGGCCCUGAGUAAAGCGGCGGACGGGUGAGUAACACGUAGGUAAUCUUCCCUUGAGCGGGGGACAACGGUCCGAAAGGACCGCUAAUACCGCAUACGUUUCCAGAGGCCCCGGUUUCUGGAAGGAAAGCUAGGCCGCAAGGUCCGGCACUCGAGGAGGAGCCUGCGUCGCAUCAGCUAGUUGGUGGGGUAACGGCCUACCAAGGCGAAGACGCGUAGCUGGUCUGAGAGGAUGAUCAGCCACACUGGGACUGAGACACGGCCCAGACUCCUACGGGAGGCAGCAGUGGGGAAUAUUGGACAAUGGGCGCAAGCCUGAUCCAGCCACGCCGCGUGAGUGAUGAAGGCCCUCGGGUUGUAAAGCACUUUUGUUCGGAAAGAAAUCUGCCGGGCUAAUACCCUGGCGGGAUGACGGUACCGAAAGAAUAAGCACCGGCUAACUACGUGCCAGCAGCCGCGGUAAUACGUAGGGUGCAAGCGUUAAUCGGAAUUACUGGGCGUAAAGCGUGCGCAGGCGGCGCUGCAAGACAGAUGUGAAAUCCCCGGGCUUAACCUGGGAACUGCAUUUGUGACUGCAGUGCUAGAGUGUGUCAGAGAGGGGGUGGAAUUCCACGUGUAGCAGUGAAA
rnacentral:rRNA from 1 species